rnacentral:rRNA from 1 species
GACGAACGCUGGCGGCGUGCUUAACACAUGCAAGUCGAACGGAAAGGCCCUGCUUUUGUGGGGUGCUCGAGUGGCGAACGGGUGAGUAACACGUGAGUAACCUGCCCUUGACUUUGGGAUAACUUCAGGAAACUGGGGCUAAUACCGGAUAGGAGCUCCUGCUGCAUGGUGGGGGUUGGAAAGUUUCGGCGGUUGGGGAUGGACUCGCGGCUUAUCAGCUUGUUGGUGGGGUAGUGGCUUACCAAGGCUUUGACGGGUAGCCGGCCUGAGAGGGUGACCGGCCACAUUGGGACUGGGAUACGGCCCAGACUCCUACGGGAGGCAGCAGUGGGGAAUAUUGCACAAUGGGCGGAAGCCUGAUGCAGCAACGCCGCGUGCGGGAUGACGGCCUUCGGGUUGUAACCCGCUUUCGCCUGUGACGAAGCGGGAGUGACGGUAAUGGGUAAAGAAGCACCGGCUAACUACGUG